rnacentral:rRNA from 1 species
AUUGAACGCUGGCGGCAUGCCUAACACAUGCAAGUCGAGCGGAUGAAGGGAGCUUGCUCCUGGAUUCAGCGGCGGACGGGUGAGUAAUGCCUAGGAAUCUGCCUGGUAGAGGGGGAUAACGUCCGGAAACGGGCGCUAAUACCGCAUACGUCCUGAGGGAGAAAGUGGGGGAUCUUCGGACCUCACGCUAUCAGAUGAGCCUAGGUCGCAUUAGCUAGUUGGUGGGGUAAAGGCCUACCAAGGCGACGAUCCGUAACUGGUCUGAGAGGAUGAUCAGUCACACUGGAACUGAGACACGGUCCAGACUCCUACGGGAGGCAGCAGUAGGGAAUCUUGGACAAUGGGCGAAAGCCUGAUCCAGCCAUGCCGCGUGUGUGAAGAAGGUCUUCGGAUUGUAAAGCACUUUAAGUUGGGAGGAAGGGCAGUAAGUUAAUCCCUUGCUGUUUUGACGUUACCAACAGAAUAAGCACCGGCUAACUUCGUG